AUCAAUAUAAACGAUAAAUAUAUAUAAAAUGUCAACUAUCUAUAAGAAGGAAUAAAAGCUCUGUGUCACGUGCAGCAGUAGAAAAUUUCAGGCUCCCAGGGAAUAAAUAGUUUUCUUUAAAUCAUUUUCGUUUUGGAUUUUUUUUUUUACUCCCGGGUAGCCUGAAAGUUUCUACUGCUGCUUUUUUAUUCUAAAGGUGGAAAGGAAAACCAAGAUCAGAAAUACAAGAAAGGGGAAGGGGAAGGGAAGGAAGGGAAGCAGGAGAGGAAGAGGGAAGGGAAGUGGUGAAAAACAGGGUGAAAAAAGUAAAAAGAGUUGGAGGGAAAAAGAGAGGGCAUCCGGGAAGAGCGGUGCUGCCUCAGGUCCUUCCCCGCCCUGGGGCGAAGGAGCCGUUUGAUGCCCGGGAGGGAGUGCAGGUCCCGGUGGCUCCCGGGGGACGGAGCGGUGGCUGUCAGCCCGAGACUCCAACUCCCGGCAGGCCGUGCUGCCGGCGCGGCGUGUGACGCAACGGCUAUCGCGGCACAUGAGUGGCUGUCAGCCCGAGACUCCAACUCCCGGCAGGCCCUGCUGCUGGCGCGGCGUGUGACGCAACGGGCGACGCGGCCCGGCAUUUUUCUCUAAAUCGGCAGUAAAUACAGCUGAGUAAAAUUAGCUUGGUUUUCUUCCUUCUUUUGUAACUGAACUGUUUUUAUUAAAAAUCCUAUUUGAAUAUGUAGAAAAAGUGGGGAUGUCCUGUAAUAUAUCGUAGCUUUUCUUGUUUACAGGGUACUGAGAAAAUACGUCUCCCUUAGAGUACCGCGGAAAGGUUCUCAGUGCGCUCUCUAUCAAGUGCUAUGAGUCUUGAUAAAUUGGAGAAGAGCCCAAGAGAAAUUUUUCAUCCCUUGAUAUAAAAGGAUUUAUUGGUUCUGGAAGAACAAGAGGGAAGUACAAGCCUAACUACUUCUAGCUCACAGGCCCGUCCAGUGAACCCAGGGACCGGUGAAUUUUAACUUUGGAGUCCCCUAUGCUAAGGAUGCUCAGCUUACAGGUGAUGAAAUGUUCAGUAAUGUAUUUGCUGCAGCUCUGCUUACCCAAGCUUUGGGUUCCUUCUGUCCCACUGGGAGUUGCCCAGUUUGGUUGCAUCUGGUGAAAUUCACCCUGAGACCUUACAGAACUAGCUCCAACUACGUGAGAGCCAUUUGCAGUUCUCUCCAGACACCUGGAGAAUGGGUGACGUUUCUGAGGAUCCGGCGAGCGUGCUUCUAUCAAAACUCAGUCUGUGAAAUUCCUGGGGAAAACCCUUCUGUGUCCUGAAGGGUUCAAACUCUGGUGAGGAUCCAGUUAUCAGGGGCUCACCUGGAUGGUUCCAGCUCCCAAAGUUAACACUUGUACUCUUGCCCUGUAGUUUACAUCUAUUGUAUUUUUGUUAUUUUGCAACAUUUUUUGUCUUUGCAAAAUAUUGUGCAUUUCACUCUUUGGAACCUCUCAGAUGGUUCUUUGGUGCAGCACCACCCCAGGGGACACUUGGCUGCUGUCCUGAAGGGUUUGGUCGCUAGAAUUGUGAAUCCUGGAGAGUUUGUGAGUCUUCUGUCCCCAGGGAGGUGUCGUGCUUUGUUUACUUUUGUUCUGUUGGUUAGGCGCUGCUUCUCGUUGCAAGUAUGAAUUUCAAACUGCCCUGUUCUUAUUUUAACUGUUUUCCUGGUUCUCUCUGUCCGGCAGGGAAAGACUCUCGUAUCCUUGUCGUCGGGCUCGGUGCUGUCCAAGAAGAUACAGAGACUAAAAAAAUCAUAAGAAGCAAAAUAUGACUGCAGGGAAAAGAAGCUGGAGAGAACAGAAGACUCAUCACGGCGGGACAGCGUGAGGACUGAAAGUGUAAGAAGAUGUGGAGGGAAACAGAGAAUCUGACAGGAGCAGCGAACGCACGAGUGCAGGAAUUUUGCUUUUUGCUUGGAUGUAAACUCAGGAGUUGAGAGGAAUUUGGGAGUGAGAAGGGACAUUUCAGAAGGAGAAGAAGAAAAAGAGGUUGUUGUUGUUGUUACAGUCCUGGCAAAAUCUUUUGUUCUAGCUAAUAAAAGAAGUUAGUUUAAAAAACAAAAAGGAAAAAAUGUAGUGUUUUUUUUUUCCUUCACUAUGAUAUUCAUUGGUGGUAUAUGGUGUGUUGUUUUAUUUCUUGGUAUUAUUAACUCUGUGUAAAUUGUUUUUUGAGUGAAGCUGACUUUCUGGAUGGGUUGGUUUGUAUUUGAGGCAGGAUUAAUUUCAGUAGGGUUCUUUCAUAGAUUUCUGAUGGGUAUUACUGGGAUUUUGGUUUUGUUUACUGUAUGUAUAAACCUAGAGCUUUGGUAGGGCCAGCUGGGCUGCUGGAGUUUUGGGUGUGAAUUUAUUAGAUGGCUUUUGUUAGAUGCAGUUUUUAAUUUUUGAAAUGUUUUUCAAUGUAGUGGUUUUAAGGUGGUUUUUAAGAAUUCAUUGUAUUGCUUUAUCUUGUUUGUAGUUGGUGUAUGAUAAGGGAUGUGGUGUGACUUUUUGAAC